rnacentral:rRNA from 1 species
CAUAGGUUAAUGAGGCGAACCGGGGGAACUGAAACAUCUAAGUACCCCGAGGAAAAGAAAUCAACCGAGAUUCCCCCAGUAGCGGCGAGCGAACGGGGAGGAGCCCAGAGCCUGAAUCAGUGUGUGUGUUAGUGGAAGCGUCUGGAAAGGCGCGCGAUACAGGGUGACAGCCCCGUACACAAAAAUGCACAUAUUGUGAGCUCGAUGAGUAGGGCGGGACACGUGGUAUCCUGUCUGAAUAUGGGGGGACCAUCCUCCAAGGCUAAAUACUCCUGACUGACCGAUAGUGAACCAGUACCGUGAGGGAAAGGCGAAAAGAACCCCGGCGAGGGGAGUGAAAAAGAACCUGAAACCGUGUACGUACAAGCAGUGGGAGCCUCUUAAUGGGGUGACUGCGUACCUUUUGUAUAAUGGGUCAGCGACUUAUAUUCUGUAGCAAGGUUAACCGAAUAGGGGAGCCGAAGGGAAACCGAGUCUUAACUGGGCGUUAAGUUGCAGGGUAUAGACCCGAAACCCGGUGAUCUAGCCAUGGGCAGGUUGAAGGUUGGGUAACACUAACUGGAGGACCGAACCGACUAAUGUUGAAAAAUUAGCGGAUGACUUGUGGCUGGGGGUGAAAGGCCAAUCAAACCGGGAGAUAGCUGGUUCUCCCCGAAAGCUAUUUAGGUAGCGCCUCGUGAAUUCAUCUCCGGGGGUAGAGCACUGUUUCGGCAAGGGGGUCAUCCCGACUUACCAACCCGAUGCAAACUGCGAAUACCGGAGAAUGUUAUCACGGGAGACACACGGCGGGUGCUAACGUCCGUCGUGAAGAGGGAAACAACCCAGACCGCCAGCUAAGGUCCCAAAGUCAUGGUUAAGUGGGAAACGAUGUGGGAAGGCCCAGACAGCCAGGAUGUUGGCUUAGAAGCAGCCAUCAUUUAAAGAAAGCGUAAUAGCUCACUGGUCGAGUCGGCCUGCGCGGAAGAUGUAACGGGGCUAAACC